GCCUGCCCGGUGAUUAAUGGAAGUUAUAUUUAACGGCUGCGGUAUUCUGACUGUGCGAAGGUAGCAUAAUCACUUGCUUUAUAAUUGAAGGCUGGUAUGAAGGGUUUGACGAGAGCAAUGCUGUCUUAAUUGGAUUUUUUAGAAUUUAACUUUUAAGUGAAGAGGCUUAAAUUUAAUUGAUAGACAAGAAGACCCUAUCGAGCUUAAAUGUUUUGGUAAAUUUAAGAAGCAGUUGUUUGUAAUUUGAUUUUUAUGAAUAUAUUUUAGUUGGGGCGGCUGAGGAACAUAUAAAGCUUCUUUGGGUUUUUAUAGUAUAUAUGGUUAGUGAUCCAGUAUGAUUUGUGCUGAUUUUAGAUUUAGUUACCGUAGGGAUAACAGCAUAAUCUUUUUUGAGAGUUCUUAUUGAGAAGAAGGUUUGUGACCUCGAUGUUGGAUUAGAAUUUCCUAAAGGUGUAGAAGCUUU
rnacentral:rRNA from 1 species